GAUCCUGGCUCAGGACGAACNCUGNCGGCGUGCUUAACACAUGCAAGUCGAACGAUGAUCCGGUGCUUGCACCGGGGAUUAGUGGCGAACGGGUGAGUAACACGUGAGUAACCUGCCCUUGACUCUGGGAUAAGCCUGGGAAACCGGGUCUAAUACCGGAUACGACCUGUCCACGGCCCAGACUCCUACGGGAGGCAGCAGUGGGGAAUAUUGCACAAUGGGCGAAAGCCUGAUGCAGCGACGCCGCGUGAGGGAUGACGGCCUUCGGGUUGUAAACCUCUUUCAGCAGGGAAGAAGCGAAAGUGACGGUACCUGCAGAAGAAGCGCCGGCUAACUACGUGCCAGCAGCCGCGGUAAUACGUAGGGCGCAAGCGUUGUCCGGAAUUAUUGGGCGUAAAGAGCUCGUAGGCGGUUUGUCGCGUCUGCUGUGAAAGCCCGGGGCUCAACCCCGGGUCUGCAGUGGGUACGGGCAGACUAGAGUGCAGUAGGGGAGACUGGAAUUCCUGGUGUAGCGAAAUGCGCAGAUAUCAGGAGGAACACCGAUGGCGAAGGCAGGUCUCUGGGCUGUAACUGACGCUGAGGAGCGAAAGCAUGGGGAGCGAACAGGAUUAGAUACCCUGGUAGUCCAUGCCGUAAACGUUGGGCACUAGGUGUGGGGGACAUUCCACGUUUUCCGCGCCGUAGCUAACGCAUUAAGUGCCCCGCCUGGGGAGUACGGCCGCAAGGCUAAAACUCAAAGGAAUUGACGGGGGCCCGCACAAGCGGCGGAGCAUGCGGAUUAAUUCGAUCAACGCGAAGAACCUUACCAAGGCUUGACAUGGACCGGACCGCCGCAGAAAUGCGGUUUCCCUUCGGGGCUGGUUUACAGGUGGUGCAUGGUUGUCGUCAGCUCGUGUCGUGAGAUGUUGGGUUAAGUCCCGCAACGAGCGCAACCCUCGUUCUAUGUUGCCAGCGCGUUAUGGCGGGGACUCAUAGGAGACUGCCGGGGUCAACUGGAGGAAGGUGGGGACGACGUCAAAUCAUCAUGCCCCUUAUGUCUUGGGCUUCACGCAUGCUACAAUGGCCGGUACAAAGGGUUGCGAUACUGUGAGGUGGAGCUAAUCCCAAAAAGCCGGUCUCAGUUCGGAUUGAGGUCUGCAACUCGACCUCAUGAAGUCGGAGUCGCUAGUAAUCGCAGAUCAGCAACGCUGCGGUGAAUACGUUCCCGGGCCUUGUACACACCGCCCGUCAAGUCACGAAAGUUGGUAACACCCGAAGCCGGUGGCCUAACCCCUUGUGGGAGGGAGCCGUCGAAGGUGGGACCGGCGAUUGGGACUAAGUCGUAACAAG
rnacentral:rRNA from 1 species